rnacentral:rRNA from 1 species
CUAUCUGCCGUGGGCGCUGGAGAACUGAGGGGGGCUGCUCCUAGUACGAGAGGACCGGAGUGGACGCAUCACUGGUGUUCGGGUUGUCAUGCCAAUGGCACUGCCCGGUAGCUAAAUGCGGAAGAGAUAAGUGCUGAAAGCAUCUAAGCACGAAACUUGCCCCGAGAUGAGUUCUCCCUGAGACUUUAGGUCUCCUGAAGGAACGUUGAAGACGACGACGUUGAUAGGCCGGGUGUGUAAGCGCAGCGAUGCGUUGAGCUAACCGGUACUAAUGAACCGUGAGGCUUAACCUUACAACGCCGAAG